rnacentral:rRNA from 1 species
GAUGAACGCUGGCGGCGUGCCUAAUACAUGCAAGUCGAGCGAACGGACGAGAAACUUGCUUCUCUGAUGUUAGCGGCGGACGGGGGAGUAAAACGUGGAUAACCUACCUAUAAGACUGGGAUAACUUCGGGAAACCGUAGCUAAUACCGGAUAAAAUUUUGAACCGCAUGGUUCAAAAGUGAAAGACGGUCUUGCUGUCACUUAUAGAUGGAUCCGCGCUGCAUUAGCUAGUUGGUAAGGUAACGGCUUACCAAGGCAACGAUGCAUAGCCGACCUGAGAGGGUGAUCGGCCACACUGGAACUGAGACACGGUCCAGACUCCUACGGGAGGCAGCAGUAGGGAAUCUUCCGCAAUGGGCGAAAGCCUGACGGAGCAACGCCGCGUGAGUGAUGAAGGUCUUCGGAUCGUAAAACUCUGUUAUUAGGGAAGAACAUAUGUGUAAGUAACUGUGCACAUCUUGACGGUACCUAAUCAGAAAGCCACGGCUAACUACGUG